CUCUUUGCAGAUAGGAACUGCCUGAGGCGCUGUGAAAGGAGAUGCCUUUUCCCGGCAUCCAUUGCGGCCCCCCAGGAACGCCAGGGUUCUUCUGGGCCACUGAGCUUCCGGACUGUGACGUCAUCGAGAAGGAAGUCGU